rnacentral:rRNA from 1 species
CCCUUAGAUGUUCUGGGCCGCACGCGCGCUACACUGACGAAUGCAACGAGCUUAUAACCUUGGCCGAAAGGUCUGGGUAAUCUCCAAAUUUCGUCGUGAUGGGGAUAGAUUAUUGCAAUUAUUAAUCUUCAACGAGGAAUGCCUAGUAAGCGCAAGUCAUCAGCUUGCGUUGAUUACGUCCCUGCCCUUUGUACACACCGCCCGUCGCUCCUACCGAUUGAAUGGUCCGGUGAAGCGCUCGGACCGCGGCCUCUUGACGGUUCGCUGUCGAUUGGCUGUGGGAAGUUCGUGAAACCUUAUCAUUUAGAGGAAGGAGAAGUCGUAACA